rnacentral:rRNA from 1 species
AUUGAACGCUGGCGGCAUGCUUUACACAUGCCAGUCGAACGGUAACAGGCCUUCGGGUGCUGACGAGUGUCGAACGGGGGAGUAAUGCAUCGGAACGUACCCAGAGGUUGGGGAUAACGCAGCGAAAGCUGUGCUAAUACCGCAUGUGGUCUGAGGAUGAAAACGGGGGACCGAGCAGCAAUGUUUGGCCUCGCGCCUUUGGAGCGGCCGAUGUCGGAUUAGCUAGUUGGUGAGGUAAAGGCCUACCAAGGCGAGGAUCCGUAGCUGGUCUGAGAGGACGACCAGCCACACUGGAACUGAGACACGGCCCAGACUCCUACGGGAGGCAGCAGUGGGGAAUUUUGGACAAUGGGCGCAAGCCUGAUCCAGCAAUGCCGCGUGCGGGAAGAAGGCCUUCGGGUUGUAAACCGCUUUUGGCAGGAACGAAACGGUGUCCGCUAAUACCGGGCGCUAAUGACGGUACCUGCAGAAUAAGCAACGGCUAACUACGUG